GAUGAACGCUGGCGGCGUGCCUAAUACAUGCAAGUCGAGCGAACGGACGAGAAGCUUGCUUCUCUGAUGUUAGCGGCGGACGGGUGAGUAACACGUGGAUAACCUACCUAUAAGACUGGGAUAACUUCGGGAAACCGGAGCUAAUACCGGAUAAUAUUUUGAACCGCAUGGUUCAAAAGUGAAAGACGGUCUUGCUGUCACUUAUAGAUGGAUCCGCGCUGCAUUAGCUAGUUGGUAAGGUAACGGCUUACCAAGGCAACGAUGCAUAGCCGACCUGAGAGGGUGAUCGGCCACACUGGAACUAAGCCACGGUCCAGACUCCUACGGGAGGCAGCAGUAGGGAAUCUUCCGAAAUGGGCGAAAGCCUGACGGAGCAACGCCGCGUGAGUGAUGAAGGUCUUCGGAUCGUAAAACUCUGUUAUUAGGGAAGAACAUAUGUGUAAGUAACUGUGCACAUCUUGACGGUACCUAAUCAGAAAGCCGCGGCUAACUACGUG
rnacentral:rRNA from 1 species